rnacentral:rRNA from 1 species
UACAGAGGUCCCAAGCGUUGUUCGGAUUCACUGGGCGUAAAGGGCGCGUAGGCGGCCCGCUAAGUCGAACGUGAAAUCCCGACGCUCAACUCGGGAACGUGCGUCCGAUACUGGCGGGCUUGAAUCCGGGAGAGGGAUGCGGAAUUCCAGGUGUAGCGGUGAAAUGACGUAGAUAUCUGGAGGAACACCGGUGGCGAAGGCGGCAUCCUGGACCGGCAUUGACGCUGAGGCGCGAAAGCUAGGGGAGCAAACGGGG